rnacentral:rRNA from 1 species
UACGAAGGGGGCUAGCGUUGUUCGGAAUUACUGGGCGUAAAGCGCACGUAGGCGGAUAUUUAAGUCAGGGGUGAAAUCCCGCAGCUCAACUGCGGAACUGCCUUUGAUACUGGGUAUCUUGAGUAUGGAAGAGGUAAGUGGAAUUCCGAGUGUAGAGGUGAAAUUCGUAGAUAUUCGGAGGAACACCAGUGGCGAAGGCGGCUUACUGGUCCAUUACUGACGCUGAGGAGCGAAAGCGUGGGGAGCGAACAGG